ACAGCCGAGGAAAUUGAGGUUGCGGAAACACACGCACACACACAGUGAGACUGGAGCAGGAGUUCAAUAGGCAAAAGGAAAUAACAGCUUUCUGUCACAGAGAAGGGUCCCAAGCGGGUUGCCAAGUCGUGGUAAAAAAGUAUUUCCUGCCUCAGGAAUGGAAUCACUAACUGCCUUUCGGGGAAUUGGGCGACGACUUCUGGCUACUUCCUGCUGGAGAGGGGCGUGGUAUGGGAACAGCAGCUAGGGCUCAUCCUGGGGUUGAUUUAAGGGUCCCUGGUAGAAAAGCCGUUUUAUUUUUGGCCUCAUUUGCAGCACCAUUUAAAGCUUGAUGGUUUCCAGAUGCUCCAGGGGCCCUCUGCAGCACCCGAAAGCUAAGGGAUUAGGAAAGACAAGCUUGAGACUAAAGUUUGAUUUGGGAAACCUGUUAAAUAUGUUUAGAAUUUAAAACACUUGAUAUUAUGAAAUAGAAUUUUAGAUUACCAUAAGUUAUUUGUUUUGCCAAAAUAAUGAGUCAAAAAUUUGAAACAGCAAAAACCAUCCAUCAGUCUUUUGUAUUACAUGAAAAUCCUGUUCAAGAGAGAAAGUUAAAUUUCACCUUUGCAUUAGUUUGCUGUUAAUGUUAACCCUAAUUUUUAAUGAAACCUUACAGACAAUCCUAUUUAAUCUUAACAAGUUUGACUAUGAAGUGAGAUUUUCACAGACCUUUUAUAACUCUCUGCAAGUUUUGCUAAAGAGCAGAUUGUCAUCUUAAGAAAACCUUGGGCCAGGUGCGGCAGCUGAUGCCUGUAAUCCCAGCACUUUGGGAGGCCAAGGUGGCCAGAUCACGAGGUCAGGAGUUCGAGGCCAGCCUAACCAACAUUGAGACAUUCUGUCUCUACUAAAAACACAAAAAAUUAGCCAGGCGUAGUGGCGUGUGCCUGUAAUCCCAGCUACUAAGGAGGCUGAGUCAGGAGCAUCACUUGAACCCAGGAGGCGGAGGUUGCAGUGAGCCGACAUCAGACCAUUGCACUCCAGCCUGGGUGACAGAGCAAGACUCUGUCUCAAAGAAAGAAAGAAAGAAAGAAAGAAAGAAAGAAAGAAAGAAAAAACCAACAACCUUGUUGUGCUUUUAUUUUAGUGUUUAAUUUACAGAGAAAAAACAUAUAAUACCCUUUUGAAUUUAGUUAAUAUGUUCACACACAGAGUUUCUUUUGCAAGAUUUUUACAAUCUUUUCAUAAUUUGCUUAAACUCUUCACUUUAUUUUAUUUAAUUUAAGACAAUCCUUUAUUUCUAGGCAAAAUGUACAUUUCCACGCCUUUUUAUAUUCUUUAAAUAAAAACACCUUUUACUGGUUUUUACACACCUCGCAUGUAGAUUUAUAUUCAGUAGUUUCAAUUACAUGUCAUAAUGGUAACUCUUAGCAAUUUUCAACUUUAAUGUAAAACCCAGUAGGUUGUUUUAAUUAUGUGCUAGAUGUGGAUAAAGUUUGACUUCUUUUAGCAUAGUUAGGGGCAUGGUUGCUUCCAUAUGUUCCCAGGCCUUACCAAUUGUGAAGCAAGCAAGUUGACAGUUUUUAAAGGCUAAAGAAGUAGUUUACAACCUCAAAACAUUUAGCAAACCUGUAGUAUCUGACCUGCCUAAUUUAGACCACAUUUUUACACCUUGAAGACAUUUGUAUUUUACCAAUAAUUUCUAAAACUAUUUUUAUUUUUAAAGAUUAAAGUUACGUGAACUGAAAGGUACCACAGCUUUUACUUUUCCCUUAAAAAUAUUUGAUUUAAGCACUUACGUUCUUAGCCCAAUUAAUUAGAGCUCUUUUUAAAUAGACAUUACACUCAUAGCACAUAUAUAACCACACAGACCAACAGAAGAAGAUCCAGUUCUUAUAAGAUUUUUUAUUUGCUAAUUUCUCAAUUGGAUUAUUGGCCUCCUGGUGAGACCCUUUAAGAAAAGAGCUAGGAAUACAAUUUCCAGGGCCUAGCAGACAAACAUACCCAGAAGACAAAGACAGAUUUUGAGAGGUCCUUAUUCACCUCUAAUUCCAGGGGUUCCAUGAAGAAACCAGAUUUUUUCCAAAAUGGGAUUUGUGGUGUCUUUUCUGUUUUCCCAAGGAGUCCUAGGCCACCAGAAGUCAUUCUAUGGCCUUUCAUGCAUGUACCAAGAGUGGCAAGCAACAGUGGAAAAAGUAAUUCGGUUGACAGAAAAAAACCUUUUCCAGAAAAACAAGAUUUAUGAAGAGAAAAACAUAAAGGCCUUUUAAAUAUACCCAUUAAAAAGAAAAGCCUU